rnacentral:rRNA from 1 species
UACGGGGGGGGUAAGCGUUGUUCGGAAUUACUGGGCGUAAAGCGUGCGCAGGCGGUUGUGCAAGACAGAUGUGAAAUCCCCGGGCUCAACCUGGGAACUGCAUUUGUGACUGCACGGCUAGAGUGUGUCAGAGGGGGGUAGAAUUCCACGUGUAGCAGUGAAAUGCGUAGAUAUGUGGAGGAAUACCGAUGGCGAAGGCAGCCCCCUGGGAUAACACUGACGCUCAUGCACGAAAGCGUGGGGAGCAAACAGG